UGGACGGGAUGAAGAAAUUGUUCCCCGCCAACUUCGCAAUCUUUUAUGUGAUCUGGGGCCAUCUUUCAUAAAAGCAGGACAGGUUCUAGCCAACAGGCCUGAUAUUAUUCGAGAGGAUUAUAUGAAUGAACUCUGCAUCUUGCAAGAUGAUGCUCCUCCAGUCCCUAACCAGGUAGCUUUUGCCAUAAUUGAGGAGGAACUUGGACAGCCUCUAGAGAGAUUGUUCAGCAAAAUUUAAUCAGGGACAAUAGCAGUUGCUAGUUUGGGCCAAGUUUACCGUGCUACACUUAGAGAAACUGGCGAGGAUGUUGCUAUCAAGGUUCAGAGAC